CCUACGGGAGGCAGCAGUGGGGAAUAUUGCACAAUGGGGGAAACCCUGAAGCAGCGACGCCGCGUGGGGGAUGAAGGUUUUCGGAAUGUAAAGCCCUAUUGGUAGAGAAGAUAAUGACGGUACCUAACGAAUAAGCACCGGCUAACUCCGUGCCAGCAGCCGCGGUAAUACGGAGGGGGCAAGCGUUAUUCGGAAUCACUGGGCGUAAAGAGCGCGUAGGCGGGAUGGCAAGUCAGAUGUGAAAUCCCAUGGCUUAACCCUAGAACUGCAUUUGAAACUGUUCUUCUAGAGUAUGGGAGAGGUAAGUGGAAUUCUUGGUGUAGCGGUGAAAUCCAUAGAGAUCAAGAGGAAUACUCAUUGCGAAGGCGGCCUACUAGACCGUAACUGACACUGAUGCGCGAAAGCGUGGGGAGCAAACAGGAUUAGAUACCCGGGUAGUC
rnacentral:rRNA from 1 species